AAGCUCCAAUGCUGACUGAACCAACACAAGGCCCCAAGCCCCAAGCUAAGUGUACACUCCUCAUUCAUGAGCCCCUUUACCUGCACGCAGCCCUGUGAGGCUGGUAUUGCUAUUCUUUUAUUAAAGUGAAAUGCCCUGGUUCUCCUCUUGAGGUCCUAUUCCCCGCUUUCUGCAUUAUUAGGACUUACCUGUCAAAAUUUCUCAACAGGUCACUUUAGACGUCAUUUGGGAUUUUCCCAGCUCAGCUUUCCGUCCCCACCUCUGCAGGGUGUCCUGAAUAUGAGUCAUGAUUGACAGUCUUCCUGGCCACACCCCCACCCCACCCCAGGAACUAUCCUAGAUUCUGGGCCCUCGAUCACCCAGCCUAUUGUCCUGUGGUACAAUCUCCCCACCAAUCUUUUGUGGGCCAGGCCCUGGGAGAGGAACCAGACCCAAUUCCUGCCACCUACCUGGCCUCUGGGGAGAGGCAGAGCCCAGUCAAUACCCUAAGAGAUGAGCAGGGACAGGACGCGGGGCAGGGGGCGAAGCAGGGGUACUCACCCCAGCAUGCUCUUCUGGGGGCGCCCAGCACCAUGGGGCAAGGAUGCCUGGACACUUCUUUUUGUUUGCAUAUCAUGUUAUGAGUAGCUAACAGCAGGCUCUUCCUGAGCGCCAGGCCCCAGCAAGCUCCUCAGAGCAAUUUCAUGAGGGAGGGAUUUGUUAUCCUUAUUUUUCACGGGAAGAAACUGAAGCUCAAAGGGAAUCAGUAACUUGCCCAACAUGGCACAGGCAGCUAAUGAGGGGUAGAGGCAGCACCUGAACUCAGACCCUCUGACCAGGGCCUGCGCUCGCACCCACUGUGCUGUACAUUACCCUUACAUGAAUCACAUUUGUAUUCAGGAGGGAAAGGAAAUAAAAAAUUAGAAUUCUCUUCAAGAAGCUAGACUCAGCUGGGCUCCAGGACUGAGACUGAAAAGGCCCCAGGCCCUAGGAUUUGCCCUCCUAAGCUCCGGGCUAUGUGACAGCAGCAAAGCGUACAGGUAUCAGGGACAGAGGAAGCCCUGGGGUAGGGGCAGACAGAGGCACAGAGCAGCUUUUUGGUGAAGAAAGGGCCCUGAAUUCUCAAUCACAAAAUCCAAGCUCCCACGUCAGUCCGGAUUACAAGUUUCCUGUUUCCGAGAUGGGGAGACCCCCCCCAACCCUGAGGCCACCCCCCCAGCCCCUGCUGGUCCCUGCCUCCUUGCCUCUCCCAUCAGGGGAACCCCACUCUUCACACUCCCACGUUGCUUUUGCAGGUUCCUGGGUCCUGCCUCCUGACUGGCUGGUACUGCCCAGGGCAGGUGUCUACCUCUACCUGUCAAGCAGCUGCAGAGCACUCACGAGAGAGGGCCACUGGAGCCCUGGCUGGAGGGGCUGCAAUUCCAUGAAUCAGACCACUGCUGAGGAGCAGGUCAGGGUGCAGGAAGCUGCUUGUGGAGCAGGGAGGAGGCAGAGGGCAGGCUGGCCCUCACAGGGGAUGAAAGCUGCUGUGGCUGGCUGAGGCAUAUGUCUCACUCUGUGCUGUCCCCCACUGCACUUGACAUGUUUCAUUUCUCUUAUUAGCUUCAUUUUAUAAAUGGGAAAUGGGGAGCUCAAAGAGGUCAUGUAACCUGUCCUAAGCUGUACCACACCACUUUAGGGACUCAAUCCCUAGCCUGACUGCAGAGUCAAUGGGCUGUGACUAUAAGCACUGCCUCCCAGAGGCUGGCCCUGGCAGCUGAACAGGAUCAGUGUAGUCAGACAGCCAGCAUGGUGAACUGAGUCAAACAGGUAUAGACAGCAACCCCUCAGAAGUGUCUGCACAUAGUAGAUGCUCAAUAAAUAUUUGUUGAAUAAAAGAAUUGAGGCACUUUAGGAGGCUGAGGCGGGUGGAUCACGAGGUCAGGAGAUCGAGACCAUUCUGGCUAACACGGUGAAACUCCGUCUCUACUAAAAAUACAAAAAAAAAAUAUUAGCUGGGUGUGGUCACAGGUGCCUGUAGUCCCAGCUACUCAGCAGGCUGAGGCAGGAGAAUGGCGUGAACCCGGGAUGCGGAGCUUGCAGUGAGCCAAGAUAGUGCCACUGCACUCCAGCCUGGGCGACAGUGCAAGACGCCAUCUAAAAAAGAAAAAAAAAAAAAAAAGAAUUGAGGGAAGGCCCUCCCUCACCCCCACAUUCCACAAAACAAAUCUUGACCCUUUCCCCCUCUCUGCACUCCUUUGUGUCCUCUCUCUUGCAUCUUCCCUUCUGCCACUCACUCGCUCACUCCUUUUCAGCACAGGCAGCUCUUGGCACCGCUUUUAAAAGUGUUUCUGAACAAUAAAAAAAACAAAUUCAAAAAUGGGCAAAGGGCUUGAAUAGACAUUUCUCCAAACAAGAUAUACAAAUGACCAAUAAGCACAUGAAAAGAGGCUCAACAUUGCUAGUUAUUAGGAAAAUGCAAAUCAAAACCACAAUGAGAUAGCGCCUCACACCCAUCAGGAUGACUAUUAUCAAAAAAGAAAAUAACAAGUGUUGGCAAGGAUGCGGAGAAAUUGGGACCCUUGUGCAUUGCUUCUGGGAAUGUAAAAUGGAACAGCCACUACAGAAAACAGUACGAUGGACCAGGCGCGGUGGCUCACGCCUGUAAUCCCAACACUUUGGGAGGCCAGGGUGGGCAGAUCAUUUGAGGUCAGGAGUUUGAGACCAGCCUGACCAACAUGGUGAAACCCUGUCUCUACUAAAACUACAAAAAAAUUAGCUGGGCAUGGUGGCACAUGCUUGUAGUCCCAGCUACUCAGGAGGCUGAGGCAGGAGAAUCGCUUGAACCCAGGAGUUGGAGGUUGCAGUGAGCCAAGAUCAUGCCACUGCACUCCAGCCUGGGCAACAGAGUGAGAGUCUGUCAAAAACAAACAAACAAACAGCAACAACAAAAAAAUAACAGUAUGAUGAUUCCUCAAAAAAAUUAAACAUGGAAUUACCAUAUGAUCAGUAAGUUCUCUUCUGGGUAUAUACUCAAAAAUAAAUGAAAGCAGAGGCUCAGAGAGAUAUUUGCAUACCCACGUUCACAGCAGUAGCUAAAACAUGUUUAUCGCAAUAGCCAAAAAGUGGUAGCAACCCCAGUGCCCAUCAGCAGAUGAAUGGAUAAACAAAAUGUGGUGUAUACAUAUGGUGGAAUAUUAUUCAGCCUUAAAAAGUAAAUUCUGACACAACUACAACAUGGAUGAACCUUGAAUACAUUGUGAUAAGUGAAAUAAGCCAGUCACGAAAGGACAAAGAUUGUGAUUACACUUACAUGAAGUUCCUAGAAGAGGUGAAAUCAUAGAAAAUAGAAUGGUGGCUGCCAAGGGCUGAGGGAUGGGAAAAGGGGAGCUACUGUUUAAUGGGUACAGAGUCUCAGGAAGGAUGAAAAAGCUCUGGAGAUGGAUGGUGGUGAUGGUUGCAUAACAAUGUGAAUGUACUUAAUGCCAUUGAACUGUACAGCUUAAAAGGUUAAAGUGGUAAAUUUUAUGUUAUGUAUAUUUUUACCUCAAUUUUAUUCCAAAAGUAUAUCUGUGUUUAUGCCCUUCGUUACCCAGAGAGGCAUUUAGAGGCUGGUUCCCAGGACUCCCAGGGGCUGUGUUCACUGUUUGGCAAACCUUUCCCUAGAAUCCUCUUCGACCAGCAGCCCCUUGGAGGCCCCAACAAUAGCUGACCCCUUGCAUGGCCCUCAUCCUGACUCUUCAUCUUUCUAUGCAGCAUAGCAGUGGGACCCCAUUAAGGACACUUCCUUUAUCUAGCGUCUACUAUGUGGCCAAGAAAGAGCAACCCGGGAUGCAUGACUUUUCUUGGGUCAGAUAAAAAACUCCAGCCAAGAGUCUCUCAAGGCACCCCUUCCAGAUGCCCACAGCUGCCACUCCUGCUGAUCGAGUUAUGAGUGGGUGCAAGGGCAGGCAGAGGAAACUGCCUGCAAGUCGCCACCCUAGAGGGCCAGCCUUGUGGGCAUCCGGACACCGACCAGGCUGGUGCAUCCUGCCUGCUGUGACCUGCUCACGCCUGCUUAGCACAUCCCAUCUGCAGCCAAGCCUCCACCAUGUGGGCCUGCUGUACUGAAGCCCAGGGAAAGGCGAUGUCAAGCCAAACCUCUCUCUCUGCCCAGGCUGUAAUUUCCUGAUUAGACGCCGCAGUCACCACCCUUUCUGCACACACUGAUUUCUUCCUGCUGUCCUCCCAAUCUCCCGGCUCCCGGGGCUCCCAGGGCCAGCAGACUUCAGAGCCUGGACCAAGCAGUGAGAAGGUGCCAGUGAACUCACUGGCCAACCAAGACCCGUCUGUGCAACCACCGCCCCCUUCUCAGAGUUAGGCCCCUCUCAGAAGGGAAUCAUGGCUUGGUUCUUAAAGUUGAAAAAAUAGCUGCUUCAGUAAGAAAGAAUAAGGUUGCUAUGAGGCAGUAGAGCAGAGGGGCCUGUGUUCAAAUACUGACUCUGCCCUUUAAUGAUAACCUUGGCCCAGUGAGUCUGAGUGCUGGCUUGCCUGCCUAUAAAAGGGGA
rnacentral:lncRNA from 1 species